rnacentral:tRNA from 4 species
GCCAAAGUGGCUCAGGGGUAGAGCAAUUCACUCGUAAUGAAUAGGUCGCGGGUUCGAUUCCCGCCUUUGGCUCCA